rnacentral:rRNA from 1 species
CUGGGGGGCGGGGCCUAACCAUGCAAGUCGAGCGGCAGCGGGAAGUAGCUUGCUACUUUGCCGGCGAGCGGCGGACGGGUGAGUAAUGCUUGGGAACUUGCCUUUAGGAGGGGGAUAACCACGGGAAACUGUGGCUAAUACCGCAUAAUGUCUACGGACCAAAGCAGGGGCUCUUCGGACCUUGCACCUAGAGAUAGGCCCAAGUGAGAUUAGCUAGUUGGUGGGGUAAAGGCCCACCAAGGCGACGAUCUCUAGCUGUUCUGAGAGGAUGAUCAGCCACACUGGGACUGAGACACGGCCCAGACUCCUACGGGAGGCAGCAGUGGGGAAUAUUGCACAAUGGGGGAAACCCUGAUGCAGCCAUGCCGCGUGUGUGAAGAAGGCCUUCGGGUUGUAAAGCACUUUCAGUGGUGAGGAAGGAUGUAAGAUUAAUACUCUUGCAUAUUGACGUUAGCCACAGAAGAAGCACCGGCUAACUCCGUGCCAGCAGCCGCGGUAAU